AUUGAACGCUGGCGGCAUGCCUUACACAUGCAAGUCGAACGGCAGCACGGGAGCAAUCCUGGUGGCGAGUGGCGAACGGGUGAGUAAUACAUCGGAACGUGCCCAGUAGUGGGGGAUAGCCCGGCGAAAGCCGGAUUAAUACCGCAUACGACCUACGGGUGAAAGCGGGGGAUCGCAAGACCUCGCGCUAUUGGAGCGGCCGAUGUCAGAUUAGGUAGUUGGUGAGGUAAAGGCUCACCAAGCCUUCGAUCUGUAGCUGGUCUGAGAGGACGACCAGCCACACUGGGACUGAGACACGGCCCAGACUCCUACGGGAGGCAGCAGUGGGGAAUUUUGGACAAUGGGCGCAAGCCUGAUCCAGCCAUGCCGCGUGCGGGAAGAAGGCCUUCG
rnacentral:rRNA from 1 species